ACUCCUACGGGAGGCAGCAGUGGGGAAUAUUGGACAAUGGGCGCAAGCCUGAUCCAGCCAUGCCGCGUGAGUGAUGAAGGCCCUAGGGUUGUAAAGCUCUUUCACCGGUGAAGAUAAUGACGGUAACCGGAGAAGAAGCCCCGGCUAACUUCGUGCCAGCAGCCGCGGUAAUACGAAGGGGGCUAGCGUUGUUCGGAUUUACUGGGCGUAAAGCGCACGUAGGCGGACUAUUAAGUCAGGGGUGAAAUCCCGGGGCUCAACCCCGGAACUGCCUUUGAUACUGGUAGUCUUGAGUUCGAGAGAGGUGAGUGGAAUUCCGAGUGUAGAGGUGAAAUUCGUAGAUAUUCGGAGGAACACCAGUGGCGAAGGCGGCUCACUGGCUCGAUACUGACGCUGAGGUGCGAAAGCGUGGGGAGCAAACAGGAUUAGAAACCCCUGUAGUCCC
rnacentral:rRNA from 1 species